CAGGUGUGGCCAAUGGAGACAGAGCAAGGAUCCUGCAAACAGAAGUGCAAGGGGAUGAGGAGCCCUGAGAAGGCAGGAGAGGUGUGUGCUGGGUAAGCACUGUCUUGGGAGAACUGCUCACAAGUGGGUCUAGGGAGGUCACUCUUUUUUGGAUUCUGGGAAGGCAGAAGGCCCUGGUCACUUUGGAGCCUUGUCAUGUUGAGCCCUGGCUUAACUGACCAACUUAGUGAGGGUCACUGGGAGAAUGCUUUGCCCAGUCCUGCUGAUUCUGAGCUCCUCUUUUUUUCCUCAUCUCCCUCCAGCAUGAUAACCCAUAUCAUGUGGGCUGCAGAAGAAACUGUUUCAUCAUUCUCUGCGCUUCCUUGGGACCCAAGUACAUGUCAGAGGUUGUGUGCCUUCAGGUGGAGCAGGGCACAACCUGGGGGCCAAUGUAACAUCUUAAAGACCUCUUUGGGCCCAGGUCUGCAACUCAGGCUCUCCCAAGAUGUGGCAAGUCUGCACCCUUACAGAAGGCCAGUGCUGCAACAUCCCACCCGGUGAUGCCAGGAUGUGAGCCCUACAUCAAGGUCUCUUGGGCCUGAGCCCUCACUAAAUCCCUUGUUGGGGCUGCCAUGGCCCCCACAGUUAUCUAAGGCUUAUAGAAUAUAUUUUUGUUGGUUUUUAUCACUUAUCUCUGUUUGUUCUAUGUUUGGAGAAGCAAGUUUCCUGUGGGUGAGGGGCUGGACAGAGCCCUCCUGGAAGGGAAGAUCUUGCUCUCUGGAGACCCAAGCUCAGAAACCAACACUGUCUAGAUUUUGACCUUGGGAAGACACUUAGCAUUUCUCUCAUCCUUAAAAUAUGGCAACAGUAAUAAUCACAGUGACUAAACUGUCUGGCUUCCUGGCAAGGGCUGGAGAUGAGAGGAGAGAAAA